rnacentral:rRNA from 1 species
UACAGAGGGUGCGAGCGUUGUCCGGAAUCACUGGGCGUAAAGGGCGCGUAGGUGGUGGCUUAAGCGUGCGGUGAAAGCUCGGAGCUCAACUCCGAGUCGGCCGUGCGAACUGGGCUCACUGGAGCAUAGUAGAGGCAGGUGGAAUUCCGGGUGUAGCGGUGGAAUGCGUAGAGAUCCGGAAGAACACCGGUGGCGAAGGCGGUUCUCUGGGAAUGACCUGACGCUGAGGAGCGAAAGCGUGGGUAGCAAACAGG